AUACUGCAGUCGAGCGGACAGAAGGGAGCUUGCUCCCGGAUGUUAGCGGCGGACGGGUGAGUAACACGUGGGUAACCUGCCUGUAAGACUGGGAUAACUCCGGGAAACCGGAGCUAAUACCGGAUAGUUCCUUGAACCGCAUGGUUCAAGGAUGAAAGACGGUUUCGGCUGUCACUUACAGAUGGACCCGCGGCGCAUUAGCUAGUUGGUGGGGUAAUGGCUCACCAAGGCGACGAUGCGUAGCCGACCUGAGAGGGUGAUCGGCCACACUGGGACUGAGACACGGCCCAGACUCCUACGGGAGGCAGCAGUAGGGAAUCUUCCGCAAUGGACGAAAGUCUGACGGAGCAACGCCGCGUGAGUGAUGAAGGUUUUCGGAUCGUAAAGCUCUGUUGUUAGGGAAGAACAAGUGCGAGAGUAACUGCUCGCACCUUGACGGUACCUAACCAGAAAGCCACGGCUAACUACGUGCCAGCAGCCGCGGUAAUACGUAGGUGGCAAGCGUUGUCCGGAAUUAUUGGGCGUAAAGGGCUCGCAGGCGGUUUCUUAAGUCUGAUGUGAAAGCCCCCGGCUCAACCGGGGAGGGUCAUUGGAAACUGGGAAACUUGAGUGCAGAAGAGGAGAGUGGAAUUCCACGUGUAGCGGUGAAAUGCGUAGAGAUGUGGAGGAACACCAGUGGCGAAGGCGACUCUCUGGUCUGUAACUGACGCUGAGGAGCGAAAGCGUGGGGAGCGAACAGGAUUAGAUACCCUGGUAGUCCACGCCGUAAACGAUGAGUGCUAAGUGUUAGGGGGUUUCCGCCCCUUAAUGCUGCAGCUAACGCAUUAAGCACUCCGCCUGGGGAGUACGGUCGCAAGACUGAAACUCAAAGGAAUUGACGGAGGCCCGCACAACCGGGGGAGCAUGUGGGUUAAUUCGAAGCAACGCCAAAGAACCUUACCAGGUCUUGACAUCCUCUGACAACCCUAGAAAAAAGGGCUUUCCCUUCGG
rnacentral:rRNA from 1 species